GACGAACGCUGGCGGCGUGCUUAACACAUGCAAGUCGAACGGAAAGGCCCUGCUUUUGUGGGGUGCUCGAGUGGCGAACGGGUGAGUAAUACGUGAGUAACCUGCCCUUGACUUUGGGAUAACUUCAGGAAACUGGGGCUAAUACCGUAUAGGAGCUCCUGCUGCAUGGUGGGGGUUGGAAAGUUUCGGCGGUUGGGGAUGGACUCGCGGCUUAUCAGCUUGUUGGUGGGGUAGUGGCUUACCAAGGCUUUGACGGGUAGCCGGCCUGAGAGGGUGACCGGCGACAUUGGGACUGAGAGACGGCCCAGACUGCUACGGGAGGCAGCAGUGGGGAAUAUUGCACAAUGGGCGGAAGCCUGAGGCAGCAACGCCGCGUGCGGGAUGACGGCCUUCGGGUUGUAAACCGCUUUCGCCUGUGACGAAGCGUGAGUGACGGUAAUGGAUAAAGAAGCACCGGCUAACUACGUG
rnacentral:rRNA from 1 species